rnacentral:lncRNA from 1 species
CCCCUCCCUGCGAAGCUCCCAGUCGCCAUCUGCGCCAAGUCCGCACUCGAUCUACAGUUCAUUGUUGGCUAGCUGAAGGUCCAGGUUUGCUAAAAAAAUUCAGUGCAUCUUUAUAUAUUGUUCAGUUCAUCUACUUGCCAAUCAUAAGUCCAAUUUCAGAUAUGAAUAAAGCUCAAACCAAGUUAAAAAAUUAUUUUCUUCAUAAAUGAGUUGUUUUUGGUUAAUUUCUUUUUAUGGACAGUACAAAUGCACACUAUUGUGUGGUGCAUCUGUUUAUUGUAAUUGUGGUUUGGUGUUCAGAAGAAGACAACAAAAAAGGUUCAUAAAAGAACCCAAAAACAGUCCGUAGUUUUGGAAGCCCAAAUUUCAGUUCAACAUGUCUUCUAUCAUCAGCUCAUUAAGAACCCCAGAAACGGUUCAAUGUGUGUGUGUUCAAAAAAUAACAAAAAUGGAGGUUCAGAGAUGGCACCGAGAGAAGUUGGAAAAAACGGUUUCAACAUAAUAAAAUAACUGCAAAAUGUUUUUGUAUUUGGGUUAUAAAAUAAUCGUCUCAGUUCAACGAGUUAAAAUCGUCUUAGGUCAAUUAGUUAAAUCAUCUCAGUUCUACUAUAUUUGUUGCGACAAGAAUGGUUCAAGAUUAGUUAAUCCUUCUUCCACUUCCUCCACAAGAAAAUGAGCUCUAAAGAUUCAGUAUUUCACCUUGCAUACAACUCAGAGAACUACCUCUACAGACCUGGCUAGUAGGAGCAUCGAAAAUAGGAUGCACAAAACAUCAGGAAAAGAUUUUUGCACCAUUGUAUCAACCCCAAGCCAGUCGGGAUAGUUGAGGAGUUGUGUCGUGGUCGCCUGGUAGUGUCCUUGUCACCGUCCGUCUUCAAGCUGGCCGCGAGGGCCAGCAAGAUGUUGCAUGCGCCGACGAAGAUUCCAUAUCUGACUAGCAGCUGGUCAGAUGCCCGUGUGUGUGCCUUAAUUCUUUCUCACUACUAGCACUUGGUUUACCAUCGGUAGGUAGUUUGUCUAAAGUUAUCUGGAUUGCACUGAUGUCCUGGUAGCCUAAAAAAUGCAUACUGUUAGCACUUGUGGUUUGCUUAUGUAUAUUAUGGGAAUUCUUUGGCUGCACUGCAACGCUCUGGCCAGGUGGCAGCAAACCAAACAGAGAGGGCAAGUGAGAGACGAAGCCUCCUCUGCCUAGGACAUCGGAGAGUCGAACCCCAACAGCCAUUUUCUUGGCAGGCUAGCACUCGCUUUGGCGGCAUGGAAGAUGAGUGUGCCCUGUAUGCGGUAAGUCCUGUAGGCUGCAACUAGAUUCCCAAUUUUCCAUGUAUGUAGAUUGGAUGUCAUAUGGUUAUCUAUCCUAAAUUUCCAUUGUUGCAUGUUGCGUUACCCCAUUCGGAUUCAGUUAUGAAGCAUGUUGCUGCAACACGAAAAUCACAAUUCAUAAGUUGAAUCCAAUUUUGUCUUCUUCCACUCUCUGGAUACAAAGUUGCAGAAAGGAUGUGAACAUAGUAUAUGCCCAUGUGUAAUCGUUCACUGUGUGUUUCAUCAUCAGUUCAAAAAUAAUAAUUUGCUUCGUGUCUGCUACUGAAAGUGACACAGUUCAGUCUACUUCCACCUGUAGUAUGCUACUAAUAGAUGAACAUUGCUUGCUUGUGUACAGAGGUGACUAAUUUCAACCACACUGCUUGUGUGCUGAUGUUGUUUGCUUGUGUACAUAUGAUUCAUUUUUUGUGGUAGUCCAAGUAUAAUUGUUUAAAAAGUACAAAUGUAUGUCUCCAUAAAAGAAAAGAAAAAAAUGUCAUGUAUUCAUGAAUUUGCUGCUGGUGUAGCAGCCCAGUAUGUAUUUUAUCAUCAGUUCAUAAAGGAAAGUUGAAUCAGUGCAGUGUUGUGUUAAAAAUAAUCAGUUUUAUAUUGUAUGGUAGUUCACUGUAUAGAAAAUUUGUAAUGGUUCGGCCAGAAUAAAGUUCGCAUAGUUCAUACUUGCGAGGCAGUAAUGUUAAAUUUGAGAAAACCAUCAGUUCAAAUAUAUAUGCAGGAGGUUGAGAGCAUAAUAAAAUGUAAAUUUUCUUUUGAUGCGUUUAAUUUUUCAAUAUCCAGUACAUUAGUUUAGUAGUUGGUACUAACUACUCUAGUUUUUUAUUUGAUGUACCUGUGGUGUAUAGUUUCUUCUGUCAGUUCAAUUUCUAAAUUUCAUACAGUUCAAUUCAUAUUGUAGCUCCAAUUUAGUCCACGUGGUUAAUUGUUGGAUGGUGUGUGUGCAGGGUACCGUGACAUUGAGUAGGCGCGAAGUGUAUCACUCCAGCACGCCAAAGCUCCAGUGCAUGUCAACGUCUUCUCCACUGCAAUGGAAGCUCCUCCGUUCGAGUUGAGCACUGGUCAUCAUCCAAGUUGAACACUAGGUGCUGUCCAAGUUCAAAGAGGGUUGUAUGCUAAGUUUGUUUUAGUGAGAAAAAUGCGGGGAUUUGACAAUAUUCUGUAUGAUUCAUUUAUUCAACCUUAGAACUUGGCGAUAUUCGGUCUAUUUUUCUAUGAUGAAGGCACACAUGAAGUCAUGUGCAAUGGUAUCCCCCUAGUGCUUCAAAGAUUCGUAUUUUGUUUCUUCAAAUGUGGUGUGCGCCUGUUUGAUGAGGUAAAACAAAGUAAAAUAGUGAAAAUGUUAUUAAAGACACUUGGAAGUACAAAUGUAGAAAAUAAAUAAGUUCUGAUUUUUGUCAGGUAGGAAAUUUGGAGAAGAAAACAUAAG